rnacentral:lncRNA from 1 species
UCAUAUAUAUCCACUAUUCCUAGUGCAAUAUUACCCAAAGCAUCUCUUCUCUCCCUGUACACAGGACCAAAAGUGCAGGCACAUCAUUUAUUGAUAAGACAAAAAGAAUGUAAUGAAAUUAUCAAUGUUCUUGAAUUAAUUAUGAACAUGAUUAAGAAAGCUAAAAUCUCAGGAGCCAGGAUCUCAUUACCCAUUCAGUCUUAGGGAUUGCUUUCAUUCAGCUAAGCAAAAAGGCUUUGAGCAGUCCCACAAUUGCCUUUCUCUCAUUUAUUUGUGCUAGAAUUAAGGUUUAUUUGUUUUCUGUUUUCUCCUUCUUCAGAGAUUAUUUCUCUUAGUUUAUCCAUUUAACAAAUUGUUUCUUCCUGUAUCAUAGAAGAAUGCCCCUGUAGGGCCUCCAUCACUGUCUUCUGGCUACAGACCUCCUCCUUUUGAGGGCAUUUUCUCUCCACUCAUUUUGCUGGGAGCUCCUAAAUAUCUCUCAAGGAGAUGCAAGGUUUUAAUGAUGGCACCUGAAGCAGGAACACCAAGAGGUUCAAGAACUCCCCAGAAACUUGGCAUUGUCAAGGAAAUCCACUGUCUUUUGUCCUGGAGGCUGGGUCAUGUGGCUUCAUCCUCUGCUGGGGCCACAUCAUUGAAAGAUUCCACCAUUGCCACCAGGUAGAUUGAGUGGAUGAAAAGCAUAUCUAUGUGGAUGAGAGAGAAUGCAUGCAACUUAAAUUUGGUUCUACCCCCAUCUUUCUAAGGAUCCAAUUAACAAAUCCCAAGGUAUGGGAAGAGUGGAUUGGUGGAGUGGAUAGAUGAGAGAGGCUCUGUACAAUCUCAUCUCACAAUUCAGGUUUGUUGGCCUGAUUUUCUUUAUGGAUCUAGGACAAAAGGAUGUCCCUGAUUCAAAAUAACCUGAACCAAAUACUCGACCUUCCCUAGUAUGUAGGCAUAAAUCCUUGGUUCAUUUUGCCCAUUUCCUCUGGGAAACCCAGAUUAUAGCCAUUGUCUCAGAGAUGUGAGUAAAAGGAUCCAUGUAAAAAGUUGCCAUCAUGCAUUUCAGGUACACUCAUCCUCCAUGAGGUAUAUACAAAUGGAUUAAUGGAUCAGUAAGAAUCCAUUCCUAGAAAAUGUCAUUAAUAUUCCCAAUAAAGUGAUUCAUG